GUGCCAGCCGCCGCGGUAAUACGGAGGGUGCAAGCGUUAUCCGGAUUCACUGGGUUUAAAGGGUGCGUAGGUGGCUUUGUAAGUCAGUGGUGAAAGCCCGGAGCUUAACUCCGGAACUGCCAUUGAUACUGCUUAGCUUGAAUCAGGUCGAGGUGGAUGGAAUAUUACAUGUAGCGGUGAAAUGCUUAGAUAUGUAAUAGAACACCGAUUGCGAAGGCAGUUCACUAGGCCUGAAUUGACACUGAGGCACGAAAGCGUGGGGAUCAAACAGGAUUAGAAACCCGCGUAGUCC
rnacentral:rRNA from 1 species